AAUGACGAAUCUGCGGAUGCAACAUCUGGAGCACGGGGAGUGGAGUCUGUAAAUAAAUCUAACCACCAAAAACCAGUUAACGUGGAACACCCUGCGUGAAAACGGGGCAGAAACGUGGGGCAGGUCUGUAAAUGUAAAUAUGAAUUGUAACACUUUUCCCAUUUCCAUAAUCUGCUGAUAUGAUAUGAUUGGGCUGUUAAACCUACAGGGGAACUACGAACAUUAUGGUGUUGUACUAUCGAGUUGUCUUGCAUGAAGACCACAGAUAAGCGCCAUAAAUCAAACUCAUGUCAGGUCUAAUGGGUCGAAGUGCGUUUAAGGUUCGCUUACAUUACCCUUUCUAAAAUCUGUUGCCGUGUUGCGAGCCUUUUGAAUUGUCGUGAAUUGAUUUACACUUCGGGUAAGCUGGGACAAGAAAUGGAAUUUCAACUUUUGCAUUGAAGUUGUUUGUUUUUCUUCUGUGGUUCUCGUUUACUUGACCUGCAUGAAACAACACAGUAUGAACGUUGACAUGUGCUUCAGUCAUCCGCAGUGACAUUAUUAAGUGCAGGUGGGUUCUCGUCACUGCUCUUCUUCUUUUUUUAUAUAUAUAUAGAGAGAGAGAUAUAUAUUUAGUUUUUGUUUGCAUUUGUCCUCCACCUCUACUCAUUCGCCCAACGAGGUCGUGACAGAGAAGACAAACGUACUUUGGCAACAAAACGUCCAACGGUAGGAGAACUGCGAAAAUACGUGACAGAAAACUUAUAUUAAAUUCCAUACCAGAACUAUUUGAUAUACAGAUCGCGUUUAUCAGUUUAUUAUCAAGAGUUAUUAAGUGCUCAUAUGAUUUUUAAAAUUAUUCUCGAGUGAAAGCGCCUUUCUGAAUAAUGGUACGUCCUAUAAAACCCCACUAGAGAGUGCUGUGGUACAAUUUUAAGGACAACCAUCACUAAGCUAUUCCAAUUCUUUAUGAAAGCUAUUCAUAAGUAAAUGGUUUUGUGUUUGUGAAUUAUGUAAAAAGCCAUGUACUAAUGUUCUGAAAGUCCUAAGCCAUUAAAUACAAAUAUACACAUCAGCCAACUUUAAUAAGUGCCUUCAAAUUUGCCUUCAAAUGGACCAAGCAGCCAAGAACGUCCAAGCACAGAUAUAAUCUUUAAAUUAUGUUUUUUUUUUAUUAUAUCCCAGAAAAGAUAAGAGGUUAUUUCAAAAAUACACAAUAAUAGAAAUAAGCUAUUUUAAGAACUAUGUAGGCCUAUAAAAGAGGUAAACUAAACAGACUUCUACUCAAAAAAUAUCAUAACUCAACAAACUGACCUAUUUAGUAACUGAAUAAACCUUCUUUUAGCAUCAGAUUUUGUUUUGGGGUAUUUCGGUGGGCCUAUGUGAAAUGUAGCUUCAGUUUCCUGUUCUUAACUUAUGUGGUCUGCUGCUGCUGUAGCUCAUCUGCUUCAAGUUUCAACCUGCUGUGCUCUUCUGCAUACCUUGGCUAUAAUGAGUGGCUAUUUGAAUUACUGUUGUCUUCCUAUCAACUCAAAGCAGUCUGUCCAUUCUUCUUUGACCUCUGACAUCAAGUAGACAUUUUCACCCAGAGAAACUCAAGACUUUCAGUCUGCCUUGAAGCAUUCCAAGGGUGUAUAGUAUACCCAGAACAUGGUUGAGACACAUCUCUCGGCUGGCCUGGGAACAACUCAGCGUUUCUCCGGAUAAGCUGAAGAAGGUGGCUGGGGAGGGGGAAGUUUGUGCUCUCUGCUUAGGCUACUGUCCCCACAACUUGACCCUGACUAAGCAGAAGAGGAUGGAUGGACGAACAGAUGGAAAAAUAUUCUCUGCAAACUCCAGAGAAACCCGAGAGAUUGUUGUGUGGAAAAAUCCCAGUAAAUCCCAGUAGGAAAGAUAAAGCCAUAAAGAAUGUCUGAUAUAAAAUAUUACAUGUCACUGUCUGUGACUGUGGGUGUCAUGUUGGUGGGCCUGCUCUACUCCAUCUGUUUAGCCUGUCAGUGGAUUUAUGGUUGGCCUGACAAGCCUGGGUAUAAGAAGUACAUAGAAGCUCUUAAUCCAAGGCGAAUAUAUCGUCUGACCCUCACUACACUGGAUCUUCUCAAAUACCUGCAGUAUUGGAAAGUUUACUUUCAGCUGAAGUCAUGGUAUAACGAUGAGAGGAAUCUAAAGUAUUAUGAAAAGGGCAUCACGUUUGGCCGCAGAGGCAACAAGCUGGACUUAUACCACCCUCCAAAUGUAAGGAAGCUGCCAUCACCGGCGGUAGUAUUUGUCUACGGAGGUGCAUGGGGCACAGGAGAAAGGUCCACUUACUGUUUACUGGGGAGUCGGAUGGCUGAAGAACUGAAAGCAACUGUAAUUUGUCCUGAUUACUGCACAUAUCCAAAGGGGAAUGUUUUAGGGAUGGUCCAAGAUAUCACUGACUGCUUGAUUUGGGCCCACCAGAAUGGAGAGAAAUUCAACUUUGACAAAGAUAACAUUGUAUUAAUUGGGCAUUCAGCAGGUGCACAUUUGUGUACACUCACCACACUGUUUCUUGUUGAUACAAGAGAGGAGCUUUCCAUAGAGCCAGGCAAGCAGCAGGAAGUCUUGCUCUCGAUAAGAGGAAUUAUUGGUCUGAGCGGCGUCUACAACAUCGUGGACCAUUAUGAGCAUGAACAGAAACGAGGAGUUGAACGAGUGUCCCCCAUGCACAAAGCGAUGAAUGGUGUGGAAAACCUUCCAUACUACUCACCAACACACUUACUAAAGAAGCUCAGCCAGGACAAAGUCAACAGAUUGCCUCCAUUCGCUUUGCUCCAUGGGACCAAUGACAUUAUGGUUCCUGCUGAAUCUACCAUAAGAUUCUCUGAGCUUCUCACUUUGCGCUCUGUUAAGAUGUCAUUGAAUGUUCUUCAUGGAGUCGCCCACACUGAGACUGCUGUUGAUCUCAUGGUGUUAAACAGACGCCUCUACCGUCCAAUCUACAGAUACAUCAAAGAAGAGUUUAGAAAAUUUCUGGGUACCUGCUGACUGCAUGUGAUUAGAAAAGUAUUCACACAGCUCCAGUAUGUGCUGAAUUGUACUGUACUGUAAAUUAAAAUCAACCAUUUAAUUAUGAGUUUGACUUGAUUCUCUGAAGCUCUGAUUUUAUAAAACUAAUAUGAUAUUUUUAACAGUACUUUAAUUAUUUUGGAGAGAUGCUCUUUAUAGUGCUGUCAAAUAAGUAAUCACAAAGUGAAAUCAAUUAUAGAACAGUAGGGUUUAUUAGGAAGCUACACACAAUAUUCAAAUCCAGUUACAAAAUACCUAUUAUUGAAUUAAAUAUUACAUUCAAAUGUUAUCUUGUGUUAACAUGUCAUUACUUAUUAUUAUUGCUUCACUUGCAACCAAAAACAUCAUAAAUGUUUUAAGAUCUUCA
ensembl:lncRNA